AGAGUUUGAUCCUGGCUCAGGAUGAACGCUAGCGACAGGCUUAACACAUGCAAGUCGAGGGGCAGCAAUUUGUAGCAAUACAAAGUUGGCGACCGGCGCACGGGUGAGUAACGCGUAUGCAACCUACCUACAACAGAAGAAUAAUCCGGCGAAAGUCGGUCUAAUACUUCAUAAAACAGGGACACCGCAUGGUGUUAUUUGUUAAAGAUUUAUCGGUUGUAGAUGGGCAUGCGUACCAUUAGGUAGUUGGUGAGGUAACGGCCCACCAAGCCUACGAUGGUUAGGGGUUCUGAGAGGAAAGUCCCCCACACUGGUACUGAGACACGGACCAGACUCCUACGGGAGGCAGCAGUGAGGAAUAUUGGUCAAUGGGCGAGAGCCUGAACCAGCCAAGUCGCGUGAAGGAUGACGGCCCUAUGGGUUGUAAACUUCUUUUGCAGGGGAAUAAAGAUAUUCACGUGUGGGUAGUUGUAUGUACCCUGCGAAUAAGCAUCGGCUAACUCCGUGCCAGCAGCCGCGGUAAUACGGAGGAUGCGAGCGUUAUCCGGAUUUAUUGGGUUUAAAGGGUGCGUAGGUGGGCUAUUAAGUCAGUGGUGAAAGUUUGUCGCUCAACGAUAAAAUUGCCGUUGAAACUGGUGGUCUUGAGUAUGGAUGAAGUAGGCGGAAUGCGUGGUGUAGCGGUGAAAUGCAUAGAGAUCACGCAGAACUCCGAUUGCGAAGGCAGCUUACUAAGGCAUAACUGACACUGAAGCACGAAAGCGUGGGUAUCAAACAGGAUUAGAUACCCUGGUAGUCCACGCAGUAAACGAUGAUUACUAGGAGUUUGCGAUAUAGUGUAAGCUCUACAGCGAAAGCGUUAAGUAAUCCACCUGGGGAGUACGCCGGCAACGGUGAAACUCAAAGGAAUUGACGGGGGCCCGCACAAGCGGAGGAACAUGUGGUUUAA
rnacentral:rRNA from 1 species